rnacentral:rRNA from 1 species
UACGGAGGGGGCUAGCGUUGUUCGGAAUUACUGGGCGUAAAGCGCACGUAGGCGGAAUUGUAAGUCAGGGGUGAAAUCCCGGGGCUCAACCUCGGAACUGCCUUUGAUACUGCAAGUCUCGAGUCCGGAAGAGGUGAGUGGAAUUCCAAGUGUAGAGGUGAAAUUCGUAGAUAUUUGGAAGAACACCGGUGGCGAAGGCGGCUCACUGGUCCGAUACUGACACUGAGGUGCGAAAGCGUGGGGAGCAAACAGG